AGACAACUGCAGGGCAAGCGCACACGCACAUACACACACACACACACACACACACACACACACACACACACUGAACAAACUGAAAAAAGCCUUAUAUUUCUCUAAUUGAUUGAGUUGGCAUUCAUAAUACUGAUUAGCCCUUGUAGAAGAGUAAACCCUUAUCCCUGUACAUGUUUUUUGUGUCAAUGCAUACACACCAUUCACUGAGGUACACACAUAUAUACUCUGAUAUAUACCCUUAUUCACUUGGUUGAACACACUGUGUGACACAAAGCCUUGGUGACACUGUGCAGAAAGGACAGCAUUUGCAGCUCCUCUUGAUACUGGCUCGAAGUGCAGGUGCAGUAAAAUAUUUAUUUACUUAAACUGAAGUGAAAUAGUGCAAAUGCAUAAAACAUUUAAAAAUAAUUUUUUUUACAAGGAAAAUUAGCUGGAAAUGUUUCAGUGGCACUCCUUACCGCACUCACUGGGAACCACAGAUCUAACGACAGGGAAGUACUUUUGUGUUUGCAUGUCAGUGCGUGUCUUUGCAGCCUACUCUUUUGUUCAACUGUCAAACUUUUCUGACGUCCUUGGCACAAUACAACAGAGAGGAGCCAUUUUGUGGGGGUGAUGGCAUUGUUUUCCAUUCUUUCAGCUGGCCUUUUGUUGCAGCGUCGCCCUCUGCUUGACAGUAACAAAAAAAAAAAAGACAAGGACAGAAUGUAAUUUCUGUGUUCGUUUUUUUUCUGAUCGCAACAUUUAAUCUCACUUAAGUUGAAGACAAUCAACCUCGUCCUCUCUGUCGCUCGAGACUCCUGCGCCAACCUGUCUCCUGUCUAGUAUUAAUAGGGUCACUCACUGUCUUCGCCUGCUAGCCAGCCACUGUGUCUGUGGUCCAGAGCCAGCCAAGCAGCCAUAUCAUUUACACUUCUCCAUUUUCAUUGUUGAUAUUUACUUCUGCAAUUAUCUCUCCACAAGAUGAUAUGCUGAAGUUAACGCUGCAGCUUCCCUCCUUCAGUCUCCUGUUGCUCACACAUAAACACACUGACAGAAGGUCUAACCGACAGAUGCACCAAGAUGUGGAAAAAAAAAAAAGUACAGUUUGUGUGUGGCAGAUCACAACCCCAAGAAGCCAUGGAGGCCUCACAGGACCUCAACGAACAGAUGGUGAAGAAAUCACACAGUGAAUCUCAUGUUUCAGACCCUUCAGACGCCAGGUCUAUGGAAAUGCAGGACCUAGCCAGUCCUCAUAACCGCGUGGGAGGUGGAGAUUCAACGGGCUCCAAGCUGGACAAGAACAACCUUGGCAGCCCCUCCAUCACCACCAAUGGAACAGGAGGUGAAAACAUGACAGUUCUAAACACGGCUGAUUGGCUGUUGGGCUGCAGCAGCCCGCCCCCUGCCCCAGGCUCCAAGGACUAUGUGAAAACAGAGCCUAUGAACAACAGCGAUACAGUCACUACGACAGGCGACACAAUAUUGGACACAUACGCAGGCUCAGUAAUCACCAGCAGCGGGUACAGCCCUCGUUCAGCUCACCAGUACUCCCCUCCCCUCUACCCAUCGAAGCCCUACCCUCACAUUCUCUCCACACCGGCAGCCCCUCCCAUGCCGACGUACGCCGGUCAACCCCAGUUCGGCAGCAUGCAGCAGUCGACCGUCUACACUGCUUACUCCCAGACAGGACAGGCAUAUGGACUGUCCACUUAUGACCUCGGUGUGAUGCUGCCGGGCAUUAAGACAGAGAGCGGCCUGGCUCAGAGUCAGUCUCCUCUGCAGACAGGCCUCAGCUACAGCCCCGGCUUCACCACACCUCAGCCCGGACAGACUGCAUACUCACCCUAUCAGAUGCCAGGUUCCAGUUUCACUCCUUCCUCAGGCCUCUACGCCACCAACAACUCAGUGUCCAACCCCGCCAACUACACUGCCACACAGCAGGAUUAUCCCUCAUAUACAACGUUUGGCCAAAACCAGUAUGCCCAGUAUUAUUCCGCCUCUAAUUACGGGACUUAUAUGACCUCCAACAGCGUGGAUGGCACAGGUUCCACGGCAGCCUACCAGCUUCAAGAUCCUGCCCCUGCCAUGACCGGACAAGCUGCUGAACUUCACCCAGGGGACUUUGAUACAGUGCAGAGCCCCUCCACACCCAUCAAAGAGCUGGAUGACCGAGCCUGCCGGAGUGGGGGGUCCAAGUCCCGUGGCAGGGGCCGCAAGAACAACCCCUCCCCUCCCCCUGAUAGUGACCUGGAGAGGGUGUUUGUGUGGGAUCUGGACGAGACAAUCAUUGUCUUCCACUCUCUGCUCACGGGCUCCUACGCACAGAAAUAUGGCAAGGACCCUCCUAUGGCGGUAACGCUGGGUCUGAGGAUGGAAGAGAUGAUCUUCAACUUGGCUGACACACACUUAUUCUUUAAUGACCUGGAGGAGUGUGAUCAGGUACAUAUUGAUGAUGUAUCAUCAGACGAUAAUGGCCAGGACUUAAGUACUUACAGUUUUGCAACUGAUGGCUUCCAUGCAGCUGCAACCAGCGCCAACCUGUGCCUGGCUACGGGUGUCCGCGGCGGGGUCGACUGGAUGAGGAAACUGGCCUUCCGCUACCGACGAGUCAAAGAGUUGUAUAGCUCGUACAAAAACAAUGUGGGGGGUCUGCUGGGUCCUGCUAAAAGAGAUGCCUGGUUGCAGCUCAGAGCAGAGGUGGAGGCUCUGACUGAUUCCUGGCUCACCCACGCACUCAAGUCCCUCUCCAUCAUCAGCUCCAGGAGUAACUGUGUAAAUGUGAUGGUGACCACAACGCAGCUCAUACCAGCGCUGGCUAAAGUUCUCUUAUAUAGUCUGGGAUCUGUUUUCCCUAUCGAGAACAUUUACAGUGCAACAAAAAUAGGCAAAGAGAGCUGUUUUGAGCGUAUAGUCUCCCGCUUUGGCACUAACAUUACAUAUGUUGUGAUUGGCGAUGGGAAGGAUGAAGAGCAUGCGGCCAGCCAGGAAAAGAGAGUUGCUUUGAACGCAUAAUGCAAAGGUUUGGCAGGAAAGUAGUGUAUGUUGUAAUUGGGGACGGUGUGGAAGAGGAGCAGGCGGCCAAAAAGCACAACAUGCCUUUCUGGAGGAUAUCCAGUCACUCUGACCUGCUGGCACUACACCAAGCACUGGAGUUUGAGUACCUGUAACUAUUAUAGCAAUAUGGACUCAUGCAAUGUUAUCAUGGACAUGGUCAGCCAGGCAGCCCCCUUCUUUUGUAUAACUAUUUAAGAACAAACAAUACACUGCAACUGUUUUUGUGAUUUUUCUUUUUGUCUUGUUUUUUUGAACGUCUGGAUUUACAAACUCUGAACGGUCUUAAGAAGCAAAGGUGAGGUGAAAGGAGGUUUAGAAAAAAAAAAAAAAAAAAAAAAACAGUGGGGUUAUGAGAUCACUCAACCCAGCUCAGCCCCUGUGGCCACGAAGCCGGGAACAGACCACUGUGAAAGCCGGGUCUACUGUCCUUGCAGCUGUAGCAGACUGAAAGCCUGUAAAGGCUAAAGACCCCCCCCUGGCCUGGGAGGAUGUUUCUUUGGGCAACUUCAUGUUUGGUUUGUUCUGGAGCAGCCAGGCUAGUAUCAGGCCUAUUGUGGGUUACCUGGGAUGAACUAUCUUCAAACAAUUAGAGCUUCUCUGUACAGGCAACAUUAUGUGUGCGGGGAUAACGGCUGCUUUUAAGUGUUUUCUUCCUGGUUGUAAUCACAACACAAUGCAGUCUGUGGCAGAAACUUGUGUAAAUUAUUUACAAUAAACUUAAGGCAGUGGUGGUUGUUUUUGUCAAGUUAAAGAACUUUUGGGGCCUCCCCCCCACUCUGGAUUUUUGUAAUUCUUUUGGGGGGAGGGGAGGUUGAAGAUGUGCAUCAUGAUGUGUUGUGCCUUAAUGUGUUUGAAUGUCUUUUCUUUAUUCAGAAAUGUCUUAUGUAGAUAUAAAGGAGAAAACCUAUCCAAAUGA